rnacentral:lncRNA from 1 species
UGUGGCCUGGCCUGGCUGCAGGGGCCAGGGUGAGUCAGGCGCUCUGUCCCUCGCACAGUGCAGUCUGUCCCGACACGCCCAGCACCGCUCAGAACCAAGAGAUCAAGCUGCCUGGGAGGGACAGAGACAGCUCCCAGGAGUCACCAUCACAAGACACACCUUGUGGUAAAGUAGCCAGCAGGGGACUUUAUGCCUGGUCAAUCAUGAAUUGAUUAUUUACUUCCUCUGCAGGGAUGGAGCUCUGUGUGCCCCAGGGCAUGAUGGGGGAAGAAGCCAUGACUCAGCCACUCACUGGGGGGAUUCUAGGCAGGAUCUCAUUACCCGCUGUCCCGGAGCACUGGCCUUCACACUCCUGGAGACCCACCUGCCUCCGGGUUAGGGCUGAGCCCGCACACAGGCUUCUCACUUGUUUAGAGCCGGCCUGCCUCGACUGCUGGAGGAGCACAGACUGCCUGCCAGUGUGGCGAGAAGCCAUGGCACACACGGCUGAAGGACAGUCGCCUGUGACCCUGCAUUCUGGCCAAAGCAAACGCUGCCCCAGGAAGCAAACACAGAUGCCCCCCUCCCCCCGAGGACAGAGGGGGCAACGGCCUGGAGGGCAUGGUGUCGGAGGGGCUGCGCCUCCGCCCGGGGGCGCUGUGGACACCAGGCUGCGCUGUGCUCUGUGGGGCGUCCCCGGCCUCCUCCGACUGCAGGCUCCUGCCAAAGAGGUGCCCGGAAGUCCCUUCCUCCUGAGACUGCCCUUGGCACCUCGUCCAUUCACUGACUUCCCAGCAGCUUCUGGCCAGACAUCGACCACGUAAAACUCCUCGACAGGCCUCAAAGCCCUUCAUGCCCCGUCCCCGUCCCUUCCCUUCCUUCCCCCUCUCUUCCCUGCACUAAUUCUGGCCCUCUCACCCUCUCUCCGUCACCUCUCUCCAAGCCUCAGCUCUAGGAUUCCCUGGGACCCCUUUGGCUCAAGCUGUGCCCAGGGGUUCGGCCCUCUGCUUUCGCUCCUUCUGACGCGGUUAGCGGUCGCCGAUGUGCUCGUUUCCUGCACAGGAGCUUGCUUCUCUCCCCCCCGGGAAGCGUCACCUCCACCCCGUCCUUCUGCUCCAGCCUCAGGAGGGCCCUGGAUGCCUCGCAGUGCUCCGUCCUGCCCCGGGGCCUUUGCACAGGUGACCUCUUCCGCCUGAAGCCCUCUCCAGCUCUCCACCCCUCGGCUGACUCGGUCUCCCAGCCAGGACUCCGGGUGGCCCCUGCUUCUGGCCAUGGACUCGGCUGGUUGCUUCCUGGCGUCUGUCUACCGAGAUGUGGCUCAUCCGGCCGCUUGUGGAUAAUUGAUUGGUCAGGCCUAAAGCAAUGGCAGGCGCACGGGAGGUGCUCAACGAGCAAGCAUUGAUUGUGCACCCGCUGUAUACCCACCCUCUUCUGGGCAACAGCAUCUGGUAAUGACC